rnacentral:lncRNA from 10 species
AAGGUAAUUUUUUUAAAUGCUAUAUUUAUUCAGCUGCAAGUAACAGAGAAGCUAAAUACAAGAGUUAGAAUAGAUAUAAGUUUGCUUAUUCUCUCACAACAGGAAGUUUCUUGGGUAGUUGCUGGAGUUGGUUCAGUUACUCAGUAAUGGCAGGGCCAAUGUCUCUGUAAUUCCCUGGGCUUGGCCUUUCUCUCAUUAUUACCAGAUAGCUGCUGAAGCUCCAAUGAUCAGGCUUGUGUCCACAAAAGGGAAGAUGUAUGUCUUCUUUAAUGAUGAAAGCAAGGCCGGGCACGGUGGCUCACGCCUGUAAUCCCAGCACUUCGGGAGGCCGAGGUGAGUGGAUCAUGAGG